CCCGUGCAGAUCGCGGGAGAGCCCAAUCACAGGGCGGGGCGAGCCGGGCCGGGCUGCGACCAUUUAUAAUCCUGGGCUCCUCCGCUCCGCCACUUGUCAAGAUGACAGGGGUCGUCCACGAAUAACACUGCACGCUGAUGAAUGGCUCUUGCAUGCUCUCGGCUCUGAUGAGGGGCUUGCCCGCCGCUGAUUGCAAACACUCAUGAACUUGCGGCGCCAUUGGAAAUUCACACGCACCUCCAAAGUGCGGGGGGUGGGCAUUUCGGGUCAGCUGAGUCACCCGAGGAGGUGGGAGAGCCAGGCGCUGCCGGGAAGAUGGACUCCGAGGCAGGAGGGUGUAAUUAAGGACUCCUACUCCAGGUAGGCGGCCGGCCUUUACAAGAGGCUCUGAAAAUGACCCGCGCCUUCGCUUCCAGUGUCCGCUCGCCCGAGACUGAAAAGCGCAAAUGACCUUCGCACGCGGGAAGCCGUCAUACACGAGCCCCAACGCGGCGCCGGCGGAGCACAAGUGUCCAAGCGCCCAGACCUCCCCAGCAACCGCGCGCUGGCCGGUGGAGACGGAUUCUGGAGGCAUCCUAAGGCUCCACGCCUCGCCUUCUCCGACGCCCCCACCCC